GUUCUUUUAKDAUAUAGGAUUCGGCAWACCUCCGUSCAGCMGCCCGCGGGWAUUCCGGAGRAUCCGACGCGUWYUCCGGAUUUWUUUGGGUUUAAAAGGGGUGCGUAGAUGRWUGUUWAAGUCAGGUUGUGAAAKGUUUGCGGCUCAACCKGUAAAAUUUGCAKGUUGAUACUUGRAUGUCUUUGAGUGCAGGUUGAGGCAGGCGGAAAUUCGUGGUGUAGCGGUGAAAUGCUUWGAUWCUCACGAAGAACUCCGAUUGCGAAGGCAGCCUGCUAAGCUGCAACUGACAUUGAGGCUCGAAAGUGUGGGUAUCAAACAGGAUUAGAUACCCUGGUAGUCCACACGGUAAACGAUGAAUACUCGCUGUUUGCGAUAUACGGCAAGUGGCCAAGCGAAAGCGUUAAGUAUUCCACCUGGGGAGUACGCCGGCAACGGUGAAACUCAAAGGAAUUGACGGGGGCCCGCACAAGCGGAGGAACAUGUGGUUUAAUUCGAUGAUACGCGAGGAACCUUACCCGGGCUUAAAUUGCACUCGAAUGAUCCGGAAACGGUUCAGCUAGCAAUAGCGAGUGUGAAGGUGCUGCAUGGUUGUCGUCAGCUCGUGCCGUGAGGUGUCGGCUUAAGUGCCAUAACGAGCGCAACCCUUGUUGUCAGUUACUAACAGGUGAUGCUGAGGACUCUGACAAGACUGCCAUCGUAAGAUGUGAGGAAGGUGGGGAUGACGUCAAAUCAGCACGGCCCUUACGUCCGGGGCUACACACGUGUUACAAUGGGGGGUACAGAGGGCCGCUACCACGCGAGUGAAUGCCAAUCCCUAAAACCCCUCUCAGUUCGGACUGGAGUCUGCAACCCGACUCCACGAAGCUGGAUUCGCUAGUAAUCGCGCAUCAGCCACGGCGCGGUGAAUACGUUUCCGGGCCUUGUACACACCGCCCGUCAAGCCAUGGGAGCCGGGGGUACCUGAAGUSGUAACCGCGAGGAUCGCCCUAGGGUAAAACUGGUGACUGGGGCUAAGUCGUAACAAGGUACCGUAAGCUUCACAAUCCCGCGGCCA
rnacentral:rRNA from 1 species